GUGGUUCAGUGGUAGAAUGCUCGCCUGCCACGCGGGCGGCCCGGGUUCUAUUCCCAUUUUUUUUUUACA